UACGAAGGGGCUAGCGUUGCUCGGAAUCACUGGGCGUAAAGGGUGCGUAGGCGGGUCUUUAAGUCAGGGUGAAUCCUGGAGCUCAACUCCAGACUGCCUUUGAUACUGAGAUCUUGAGUUCGGAGAGGUGAGUGGAACUGCGAGUGUAGAGGUGAAAUUCGUAGAUAUUCGCAAGAACGACCAGUGGCGAAGGCGGCUCACUGGCCCGAUACUGACGCUGAGGCACGAAAGCGUGGGGAGCAAACAGGGAUU
rnacentral:rRNA from 1 species